GGCAACGCGCUGGAAAGCCUGCAAGUUCGCUCCGAGGGCCCUUCCCGGAGCAACUGGAUCGAGCCGGUCCCAAACUCCGGAUCCUCUCCAGGAAGGCUACUCCUCGCCUCGCGGUGCGGGUUCCCAGAGCCUGACCCGCCGCUCCCAGCGCUCCUGGCUGCUGGGAGCUCGUUUCCAGCUUAUUAUUACAAGUGCCCUGACAGCACCGAGAAGGGGAGAAAGUCAUCAUGUGCCCGGAGUCGAAGGCUCAGUUGGGCCACGGAAGCUGAGGGCCUCCUCUUACUCUUCCGAGAAGAGCAUCAGGCCUGGAUAGGCCCCUGUUGUGAACAGAUCUGAACUCAUUUGGCCCUUUGGCAAUUGUCGGUUCUUAUAUUUCCAGCCACUGGAGAUGAGAGGCACUGCGUGAGGAAACAGUCUGUGGCAAGUGUGACGGAUGAACACAGGGCACAAGCUUCAGAAGCAGACAUACCUGCCGUUGAAUCCAGGCUCUUCCCAGUGGGGAACACAGGGAAGAACCGAUGCAGUUACCACCUGUAUCCCCACAAAUGAUCUGUCCAGUGCCGCUGUGGGCUCUGGAGCCAGAGAGCCAGGCGGAGGAUGGGGAGUGGAGGGGUUCUGCAUUUGGAAAACAGGGAGCAGGAUUCUUAUCUGCCCUGAGGGGUGGAGAUAAAGGUCUGCCCCUGUGCAUGGCGUAUGAUAGGCACCUAGUAAGUGUUGUUAAAUGAGGAGGGAACGUGAAGGUAUAAAGGGGUAAAGGACUAGGAAGAUGUGCAAAGACUAGGGACCUGGAAACUAACUACUAAGAGGAUUAGGUGGAAGGAGGGCCUGAAGGAGAAGGAUUCCAGUGAGAAGGUAGGCAGUGAUUCCCCAUCAUGAAAUCCCGGGGACACUUAUUAAAAACAUGCAUUCAGGCUCAGGGCUCUGUAUUUCCCUGCUCCUUAGGACCCGUAGGGUGCCUGGUAUUGACUGGUUUGUCAUAUAUCAUAUUCCAACACUCCAGUGAUCUUCUCAGAGAGCAGCAACAGCCCCAGAGGGGAACACAGGGUAGAGCUGAUGUAAUGACAACAGAUAUCAAUGCAAAAUGAUCUGUGCAGUGCAGCUGUGGGCUCCCCAAGCAAGAGAGAGCCAGGCGGAUGGGGGCUGGGUAGGACAGGGGCGGAGAAGGGGGAAAGGAGAUGGCAGGGAGGGAGAAAGGGAAGCUGAGUUGGGAGCUGAUGGAGCUCAGGGAAUGAGAACCUGGUAAAUCCAGUCAUCUAACUGGGAUUCUAGAUCAUUUUAGCACUUGCAACAUCAUGGUUUGAAACCAGCUGUCUUGUUUCUCCAUUAGCUUUCAUCACAGAUGAAAACAAUGGCAGCUCACAUCGGGGGGCAGGACGGGCUGGGCAGAGACCAGCUCCAAGUAGGUGGCAGGUGCUAUAGCAGCCUGGGGAGCCCCUUGGCUUCCCCUCUAAGCAGCUGCUUCUCCUGACUGGAAGAGGCCUAUGAACCGGGGUGGGGCAGGGCUUGGAGUUCCCUCUGCUUCAGGGAUACCGCGCUCCCCUGCAGGGCGCCUUCCAGGGUGGCUGUAAUACUGGGCCAGCAAGCACCCCAGCAUUCACAGAGAAGGGAAGAUGUGAAAUACCUGAAUGAGUGAGAAGGCAUAGCCGCUGCAGCCCUUGCCCCACACCUGGGUGGUUUAGGAUGAAACCAGUAGGUCUCCUUUGAUCAAUCAGACCUUUGCUUCCUUGUGCUUCUGAUCGUUGUGCUCAGGCUCGGGGUUUUUACCAGAAGCGUCAGGGCUCAUAUCCUACUGGAAGCUCUUGUUGCCAAUGCCUUUUUGUGAAGGGGGUUUAGUCCAGAUGACAAACCUGUCUUCCAUCUCAGAGUCCUGGGUGUGACCCAGGACCCGCCAGGACGUCGGAGGCUAUUGCUCAGCGCCAUCUAGUGGUCGGCAUGGCUUAUUUUCCUAAAGGACCCUGAGCCCCAGCAUUCUUGCUCCCAGCCACACCUAGGGCUAGAUCUGCUCCCUUCUCCUCGGACCGCUGCAGGCUUUGGUCACUUUGAAAAGUGGUGAUUAACGAAGCUUUAAGCUCUGCCUAAAGUGGAGACUUUAAACUCUGUAUCCUUUGUCCUUGUUCAAUUUUACAUAGUUUCAGGGAAGGGGAUAGGAGAAUUUAGUGGUAUUAAAAGACUAAGGUGAAGUAGGGAUAGAUGGAAAGAACAUUCUCCUUUUUCCCAGCUGCCUGGCUCCAGCAUGCACAGACCAUCAACUUGGCACUUUUUCCAGGUCUCUCUCACCCAACUGUGCCAUAAGAGGAGGGCACAGGAAGAGUCUCUUCUGCACAAAGUCCAAGCUGAGCGUUGAGAAUCAUCUUUACUCCGCCACAGAUAAAGUGAUGGGACACGGAGGUGGAACCAGACUGCUCGACUCAGAGCACUGAGGGAAUCCACCUAUUGGGAGCUUUCCUCAUGUAAAAGUGAGCUUUGGAGUUCUCAGAGAGGUCCUAUGGACAGUGCACCUUUCCAAAAAGGAAUAUCCACAUUUCUAGGUUCUCAAUUUCCUGGUUCAGGUCCAGAAGAGGGAACACUAGUCCUUUUCUUCUUACAGAGUUGGGUCCACCCAAAGGAAUCAGGUAGAGCCUACAGACAGGUCUUGUACAUAAGAAGGGAGGUAAGCGAUGGAGCAGAACACACCGAUUCCUAGGAUGGGAAACCAACAGGCAUUGCUCUGGGAGUGAUACGUGACUGCUGCUCCUUCCAAACACUAUGCAUUGUCCCAUUGGCCACUGGAUAAACAUUCAGAUGGCAUCUGGAAUUGCCUGAACCUGCAAGCAGGAAUUUCCCUGCAGGGCACAGGGGGUUGUGCCUAGUGGACCUAGGAUCCCUGGAACAAAGACACUCUUGGGAAGAACAUGAUUCUUUUGGGAAGCAAAAUCUUAGUGUUGAAAUAAAUUCAUUGGUGGGGACUUCCCUGGUGGUGCAGUUGUAGAGACUCUGCGCUCCCAAUGCAGGGGGCCCGGGUUCGAUCCCUGGUCAGGGAAAUAGAUCCCACGUGCAUGCCGCAACUAAGAGUUCGCAUGCCCCAACUAAGGAGCCUGUCUGCCGCAACUAAGACCCGGUGCAACCAAAUUAAUUAAUUAAAUUUUAGAAAAAGAAAUAAAUAGAUUGGAAUAUUCAGAAUGAGAAAUUUCCCUAAAUAUACUUGCCACUCAAGCCAGUGGAAUAGUAAUGUACAUAUGUAGUAAGGUACAUAAGAUUGGAAACCAUUUAUGGAGGUAAAGAUCACUAAAAAUUUUCUAGGGCCUUUUCCUCCACGCCAAAUUCCUGUUCUCAUUGACAGAGUUUUAUGAUUCUUGUGUCCUUCCUUGAGCUACAUCAUUCAAUAUUUUUCUUGUUAGGAGGAUGCUUGAAAAGACUGUGUUGCCCCAAAUAUUUAUAGCAGCAAUAAUAACAAAGUAAAGAAAAAAAGAUAUAACCUAAAUGUCCAUCAGUUGG